ACCCGUUCAACGUCUGCAGUGGUCUUGACGCAGUCGUGUUGUUGUUGGUGCAGCAAGCAAUGCUUCCACCAAUGUUCCUGACCCAAUUUGGCGGGCGGGUUUUCUGCGUUGGACUGCACGUUGCCAGGUUCCCUCUCGCACUGCAUUAUCUACCAGUGCUGUUGUGGUGAGUCGCCGUGGCGCGUGCGCGAAGCCUGGAUCGAUGGGCUGCGUCAGUUUCUGAUCGCAGUUCGGCGUGUUCUCAAGUUCAGCCGCCUCUCGGACUCGAGCUGGAGCUUCGAAGCCCUCGGAAUACUACUUAUGGAGAAACGUGCCUCGAUUUUCGAUGUCUACUAUCACCUGCAUGGCUCUCGAGUCUUGCCGAUGGCGGCGAAGCUCAGUGAAGUUAGAAGAGAGAAAUGGGUGCAAUGGAUUGCUGGGAAUGGAAUGGAUGAGGCAGAUUGGCAGGUUGCGAAGCAAGUAGGAGAGCAUUUUUCUUCUCCCAUGCUGUGUUGUGAAUUGCCUCUAUGGUGGGUGAAUGAGUGGUUUCAAGACUGGCUGUUGAAGCUGAAAUUUAAGCUUCGAAGUGACCCUACCGCCGUUGUCGAAGAAGUAAGCCUCUACUACAACUAAAGGAGAAGCUGGUGGACAUGGAUUUGCAAGUGUCGGUGCCGCGGCAGCUGCCUCCAUUUGCGAGGGAGCUUCAAUAUGAAAGGCCCUGGAAAUUGAUGGAGGAUAUUAUGGAUUUUUCUGCGCACACAAUUUUGCACACCUUUAUGGGUAACGAGGAGCAAGUAUAAUAGUGCGCAAAAUAUGGUGCGCACUUCUCCUUCUCCGGUUACAAUUCUACGCUUGGGCGCGAGAGACCGUAGCGGAUAUGACGUUCGGUGGCCUCGUCCACGCUGCUAGUACAAAUAGAUUGCUCUGGUGACUUGCCUCGCUUAGAUCCAUGCUACUUGUCUCGGUUGCCGGUGAUCUUGUUGCACCUCCGGAAUCAAAGUGUGGUGAAGAUGAGAACAAAAGCUACAACGCUGGGAAAUGCGAGAUUGGAAAGGCAGCAUUCGACCAGUCUGCUAAAACCCGAACGCCCUUCAUAUGUGUGGCAUAAUUGCAUGAGACAUCUGAAGAAGAGCUGGCAAAUCGCAUGUUCAUAAAUUUUGAGUCCUUGUUCUACUUUCCAGGGUCUAAACUUCGGAACUACGUUUCGUGUCAGGUCCGUGCAGUCUUUGGAUUCAAAAGUAAAAAAAUGUAUCUAAAAUACUAAAAGAAUUUUUUUUUAAAACUCUUUCCAUUUCAAAGCCAGAAUAACUACUCUGCGGAAGAUCUUGGAUAAAAAUCCUCGACACAAAAAUCAUUAUUUUCAGAGUGAGUAAUCAUAGCCUCAAAAGUUUAAAUAUGAAAUUCAGUUUCUGUCGUUACAACAUCAUAGAUCAGAAGCUGAAUCUGAGUGAUUACGUCGUAUCCUCCAACGAUGCGCAUAUGAUAUCAUCACCUUUGAUAUUCCAGUGUUCCUCAUGUUUGCUCAGAUAAUAGAUAAUUGCCUAAUGACUGAUUGCAUCCUUUCCAGCAAUCUUAGGGAAAAUGAUAAGUGAGUAACCUGGACAGGUCUUCUGGAUCCUCGAUCUGGUGACUAGUAGUUUAGUUUCGCACAUAACUUAAUGUUGAAUUCUAUAUGUAAUCGGCAAAAGUAGGAUUUUUUCAGGGUGUGGGCCAUAUUCUGAAUUUUUUCAUGUGCGAUGUUGCAGAACUCGUCAUCGGCUAGUAAUUUGCUAACUCAUUUUUCGAGGAAUGCUGGCCACUAGAUGUGUUUAUUCUCUACUUCACUUGGUAGAUGUAAUCAUAAAGACCGUUCGCUCUACAGGUUUGACUUUGAUUGCAGAGCUGUGAAGGCCUAUAGUCUCAACGCCAAUCUUUGUGGAGCGUGGGAUUAUCCCGAAGAUAGCAUGAGAGCUUUUCCGAGAUUCUUCUGUUGUAGCUUUUUGGUGGGGGCACACACUCCCCAUGAACAGCACAGCCAGUUGUUCAGCGUGUCCAGAUCUGAGAAAAAACGCCACAGCAAAACAUAACAAAUGCAACAUCUGGAUGUGCUAUCCCUAAGAAGAGAAGCUUAAAGAGGGUCUUGCUUGCAAAUAUGUUCGCACACAAACUGCCCCACUCGGAAGCCCACUUCACCGGGUGUAUUCCUUUGUGCCAUUGCCAAGUCAGCUCCCCCAUUUUAAAAGCACGCCUGCUGUCUAAGCUGGCGUGGAGUUUUCCUUGA